CAGUAGCCGCGGUAAUACAGAGGGUGCAAGCGUUAAUCGGAUUUACUGGGCGUAAAGGGCGCGUAGGUGGUUAUGUAAGUGAGAUGUGAAAUCCCCGGGCUCAACCUGGGAACUGCAUCUUAUACUGCGUAGCUGGAGUGCAGUAGAGGGUAGUGGAAUUUCCGGUGUAGCGGUGAAAUGCGUAGAUAUCGGAAGGAACACCAGUGGCGAAGGCGGCUACCUGGACUGACACUGACACUGAGGCGCGAAAGCGUGGGGAGCAAACAGGAUUAGAUACCCGGGUAGUCCCUGUCUCUUAUAA
rnacentral:rRNA from 1 species